UACGGAGGGUGCAAGCGUUAUACGGAAUCACUGGGUUUAAAGGGUGCGUAGGCGGCAUUGUAAGUCAGUUGUGAAAUACCCCGGCUUAACCGGCGGAAGUGCGAUUGAUACUGCAGUGCUUGAAUCAGGAUGAGGUAGGCGGAAUGUGACAUGUAGCGGUGAAAUGCUUAGAUAUGUCAUAGAACACCGAUUGCGAAGGCAGCUUGCUGGACCUGAAUUGACGCUGAGGCACGAAAGCGUGGGGAGCAAACAGG
rnacentral:rRNA from 1 species